CAAAGUGGGGGACCUUCGGGCCUCAUGCCAUCAGAUGUGCCCAGAUGGGAUUAGCUAGUAGGUGGGGUAACGGCUCACCUAGGCGACGAUCCCUAGCUGGUCUGAGAGGAUGACCAGCCACACUGGAACUGAGACACGGUCCAGACUCCUACGGGAGGCAGCAGUGGGGAAUAUUGCACAAUGGGCGCAAGCCUGAUGCAGCCAUGCCGCGUGUGUGAAGAAGGCCU
rnacentral:rRNA from 1 species